UACGUAGGGUGCGAGCGUUUGUCCGGAAUUAUUGGGCGUAAAGAGCUUGUAGGCGGUCUGUCGCGUCUGCUGUGAAAAUCCGGGGCUCAACCCCGGACUUGCAGUGGGUACGGGCAGACUAGAGUGUGGUAGGGGAGACUGGAAUUCCUGGUGUAGCGGUGAAAUGCGCAGAUAUCAGGAGGAACACCGAUGGCGAAGGCAGGUCUCUGGGCCACUACUG
rnacentral:rRNA from 1 species